CAGCAGCCACGGUAAGACAGAGGAUGCAAGCGUUAUCCGGAAUGAUUGGGCGUAAAGCGUCUGUAGGUGGCUUUUCAAGUCCGCCGUCAAAUCCCAGGGCUCAACCCUGGACAGGCGGUGGAAACUACCAAGCUAGAGUACGGUAGGGGCAGAGGGAAUUUCCGGUGGAGCGGUGAAAUGCGUUGAGAUCGAAAAGAACACCAACGGCGAAAGCACUCUGCUGGGCCGACACUGACACUGAGAGACGAAAGCUAGGGGAGCAAAUGGGAUUAGAUACCCCAGUAGUCCCUGUCUCUUAUAA
rnacentral:rRNA from 1 species